AACGAACGCUGGCGGCAUGCCUAACACAUGCAAGUCGAACGAGACCUUCGGGUCUAGUGGCGCACGGGUGCGUAACGCGUGGGAACCUGCCCUUAGGUUCGGAAUAACUCCCCGAAAGGGGUGCUAAUACCGGAUAAUGUCUUCGGACCAAAGAUUUAUCUCCUUUGGAUGGGCCCGCGUUGGAUUAGCUAGUUGGUAGGGUAAAAGCCUACCAAGGCGACGAUCCAUAGCUGGUCUGAGAGGAUGAUCAGCCACACUGGGACUGAGACACGGCCCAGACUCCUACGGGAGGCAGCAGUGGGGAAUAUUGGACAAUGGGCGAAAGCCUGAUCCAGCAAUGCCGCGUGAGUGAUGAAGGCCUUAGGGUUGUAAAGCUCUUUUACCCGGGAUGAUAAUGACAGUACCGGGAGAAUAAGCUCCGGCUAACUCCGUG
rnacentral:rRNA from 1 species